rnacentral:rRNA from 1 species
GUUUGAUCAUGGCUCAGAUUGAACGCUGGCGGCAGGCUUAACACAUGCAAGUCGAGCGGGGGAAGGUAGCUUGCUACUGGACCUAGCGGCGGACGGGUGAGUAAUGCUUAGGAAUCUGCCUAUUAGUGGGGGACAACAUCUCGAAAGGGAUGCUAAUACCGCAUACGUCCUACGGGAGAAAGCAGGGGAUCUUCGGACCUUGCGCUAAUAGAUGAGCCUAAGUCGGAUUAGCUAGUUGGUGGGGUAAAGGCCUACCAAGGCGACGAUCUGUAGCGGGUCUGAGAGGAUGAUCCGCCACACUGGGACUGAGACACGGCCCAGACUCCUACGGGAGGCAGCAGUGGGGAAUAUUGGACAAUGGGGGGAACCCUGAUCCAGCCAUGCCGCGUGUGUGAAGAAGGCCUUAUGGUUGUAAAGCACUUUAAGCGAGGAGGAGGCUACUUUAGUUAAUACCUAGAGAUAGUGGACGUUACUCGCAGAAUAAGCACCGGCUAACUCUGUGCCAGCAGCCGCGGUAAUACAGAGGGUGCGAGCGUUAAUCGGAUUUACUGGGCGUAAAGCGUGCGUAGGCGGCUUAUUAAGUCGGAUGUGAAAUCCCCGAGCUUAACUUGGGAAUUGCAUUCGAUACUGGUGAGCUAGAGUAUGGGAGAGGAUGGUAGAAUUCCAGGUGUAGCGGUGAAAUGCGUAGAGAUCUGGAGGAAUACCGAUGGCGAAGGCAGCCAUCUG